CAAUAGCGUAUAUUUAAGUUGUUGCAGUUAAAAAGUUCGUAGUUGGAUUUCGGAUGGGACUUGCCGGUCCGUCGUUUCGAUGUGCACUGGCCAGUCCUAUCUUGUUGUCGGGGACUAGCUCCUGGGCUUCACUGUCCGGGACUAGGAGCUGACGAGGUUACUUUGAGUAAAUUAGAGUGUUCAAAGCAAGCCUACGCUCUGAAUACAUUAGCAUGGAAUAACACGAUAGGACUCUGGCUUAUCUUGUUGGUCUGUGAGACCAGAGUAAUGAUUAAGAGGGACAGUCGGGGGCAUUCGUAUUUCAUUGUCAGAGGUGAAAUUCUUGGAUUUAUGAAAGACGAACUUCUGCGAAAGCAUUUGUCAAGGAUGUUUUCAUUAA
rnacentral:rRNA from 1 species